rnacentral:rRNA from 1 species
AAUGAACGCUGGCGGCAUGCCUUACACAUGCAAGUCGAACGGCAGCAUGACCUAGCUUGCUAGGUUGAUGGCGAGUGGCGAACGGGUGAGUAAUGCAUCGGAACGUGCCUUUUAGUGGGGGAUAACGUAGCGAAAGUUACGCUAAUACCGCAUAUUCUCUGAGGAGGAAAGCAGGGGACCUUCGGGCCUUGCGCUAGAAGAGCGGCCGAUGUCGGAUUAGCUAGUUGGUGAGGUAAAGGCUCACCAAGGCAACGAUCCGUAGCGGGUCUGGGAGGAUGAUCCGCCACACUGGGACUGAGACACGGCCCAGACUCCUACGGGAGGCAGCAGUGGGGAAUUUUGGACAAUAGGCGCAAGCCUGAUCCAGCCAUGCCGCGUGAGUGAAGAAGGCCUUCGGGUUGUAAAGCUCUUUCGGCUGGGAAGAAAUCGCACCCUCUAAUACAGGGUGUGGAUGACGGUACCAGCAUAAGAAGCACCGGCUAACUACGUG